rnacentral:rRNA from 1 species
UACGGUUGGAGAGAGUGGCGCACGGGUGCGUAACGCGUGAGCAACCUACCCAUAUCAGGGGGAUAGCCCGAAGAAAUUCGGAUUAACACCGCAUGACACAAAUUGACCGCAUGGUUUAUUUGUCAAAUAUUCAUAGGAUAUGGAUGGGCUCGCGUGACAUUAGCUAGUUGGUGGGGUAACGGCCCACCAAGGCGACGAUGUCUAGGGGCUCUGAGAGGAGAAUCCCCCACACUGGUACUGAGACACGGACCAGACUCCUACGGGAGGCAGCAGUAAGGAAUAUUGGUCAAUGGGGGCAACCCUGAACCAGCCAUGCCGCGUGCAGGAUGACUGCCCUAUGGGUUGUAAACUGCUUUUGUUAGGGAAUAAACCCCACUACGUGUAGUGGGCUGAAUGUACCUAAAGAAUAAGGAUCGGCUAACUCCGUGCCAGCAGCCGCGGUAAUACGGAGGAUCCGAGCGUUAUCCGGAUUUAUUGGGUUUAAAGGGUGCGUAGGCGGCACUUUAAGUCAGGGGUGAAAGACGGCAGCUCAACUGUCGCAGUGCCCUUGAUACUGAAGUGCUUGAAUGCGGUUGAAGACGGCGGAAUGAGACAAGUAGCGGUGAAAUGCAUAGAUAUGUCUCAGAACACCGAUUGCGAAGGCAGCUGUCUAAGCCGUUAUUGACGCUGAUGCACGAAAGCGUGGGGAUCGAACAGGAUUAGAUACCCUGGUAGUCCACGCCCUAAACGAUGAUGACUCGAUGUUUGCGAUAUACCGUAAGCGUCCAAGCGAAAGCGUUAAGUCAUCCACCUGGGGAGUACGC